UACGUAGGGACCAAGCGUUGUUCGGAUUUACUGGCGUAAAGGGCGCGUAGGCGGCGUGUUAAGUCAGCUGUGAAAUCUCCAGCUUAACUUGGAACGGUCAGCUGAUACUGUGCGACUAGAGUGCGGAAGGGGCAACUGGAAUUCUUGGUGUAGCGGUGAAAUGCGUAGAGAUCGGAGGAACACCAGUGGCGGAAGGCGGCCUUCUGGGUCCGCCCUGACGCUGAGGCGCGAAAGCGUGGGGAGCGAACAGG
rnacentral:rRNA from 1 species